CCAGGGAAGGGGAAAACUCGGAUAAAGGAGAACAAUGGUACUACCUUAAAAUGCAUAAUUCUUGACAUGACAGCUGUGUCGGCGAUAGACACAAGCGGGCUUGAAGCGGUGUUUGCACUUAGGAGGAGGCUCGAGAAGCAAUCACUUCAGCUUGCACUGGUGAAUCCUGUGGGGACUGAUGGAAAAGCUACACAAGUCCAAG